rnacentral:rRNA from 1 species
UAUUGGGCGUAAAGCGUCCGCAGGUGGCCAUUCAAGUCUGCUGUCAAAGCGCGAGGCUCAACCUUGUAAAGGCAGUGGAAACUGAAUAGCUAGAGUAUGGUAGGGGCAGAGGGAAUUCCCAGUGUAGCGGUGAAAUGCGUAGAGAUUGGGAAGAACACCGGUGGCGAAAGCGCUCUGCUAGGCCAAAACUGACACUGAGGGACGAAAGCUAGGGGAGCGAAUGGGAUUAGAUACCCCAGUAGUCCUAGCCGUAAACGAUGGAUACUAGGUGUAGCUUGUAUCGACCCAAGCUGUGCCGUAGCUAACGCGUUAAGUAUCCCGCCUGGGGAGUACGCGCGCAAGCGUGAAACUCAAAGGAAUUGACGGGGGCCCGCACAAGCGGUAAUCGAAU